rnacentral:lncRNA from 1 species
AUACCUUUUGUGUCUGGCACCGCACUAAGCACUUGCCACGUGCUUUCCAACAUAGCUCCGUAACAGGAAUCACUCUCGCACUCAGCAAUAUUACUUGACAUUUAAUAUGCAACAGAAAUUCAUUGUCUCAUGGUUCUGGAGGGCAGAAGUCUGAAAUAAUGAUAUGGACAAGGGCCAUGCUCUCUCUGAACCCUGUAGGGGGAUGCUUCUUUGCCUCUUCCUAGCGCUAGUGGGUUGCUGUCAUCUCUGGCAUUCCCUGGCUUGCAGCUGCAUCACUCCAGUUUCUGCCUUUAUCAUCACAUGUGUGCUCCCUGCGUGGCGCUGCCUUCUUCUGAGAACACCAGUCAUAGUGGAGUAGGUUCCCACCCUCCUCUACUAUGACCUCAUCUCAAUUAAUUACAUCUGCAACAACACUGUUUUCACAUAUGGUCACUGUCUGAGGUACUGGAGAUUAGGACUUCAAUAUACCUUUCUGCAGGGCUGGGUGGUGGGUCAAUAGUGCUCAACACAUAACACUGUCCUUGUGGAACUUACACUAUAAAAGUCCCCUUUUACAGAUGAAUACAUUGAGGCACAGAGAGCCCAAGUGAUUUGCUCAGGAUCUACUGGCAGUAAACUGCAAAUCCAGGUCUGACUCCAGAGCCCAUUUUCUGUCUACUAGACUACCUUGUCUAGCCUACACAGGUUCUCCUCAGCAGGUGGUCAUUUGUAGAAAAGGAGCUUUACUCAUCAUUACUGGUCAUUAGAGAAAUGCAAAUCAAAACCACAAUGAAAUACCAUCUCACGCCAGUUAGAAUGGCGAUCAUUAAAAAGUCAGGAAACAACAGAUGCUGGAGAGGAUGUGGAGAAAGAGGAAGGCUUUUACACUGUUGGUGGAAGCGUAAAUUAGUUCAACGAUUGUGGAAGACAGAAUGGUGAUUCCUCAAGGAUCUAGAACCAGAAAUACCAUUUGACCCAACAAUUCCAUUACUGGAUAUAUACCCAAAGGAUUAUAAAUCAUUCUACUAUAAAGACACAUGCAUACAUAUGUUUAUUGCAGCACGGUUCACAAUAGCAAAGACUUGGAGCCAACCCAAAUGCUCAUCAAUGAUAGACUGGAUAAAGAUAAUGUGGCACAUAUACACCAUGGAAUACUAUGCAGCCAUGAAAAAGGAUGAGUUCAUGUCCUUCUCAGGGACAUGGAUGAAGCUGGAAAUCGUCUUUCUCAGCAAACUAACACAGGAACAGAAAACCAAACACCCAUAUUCUCACUCAUAAGUGGGGGUUGAACAAUGAGAACACAUGGACACAGGGAGGGGAAAAACAUACACUGCAGCCUGUUGGCGGAUGGGGGGCUAGGGGAGGGAUAGCAUUAGGAGAAAUACCUAAUGUAGAUGACAUGUUGAUAAGUGCAGUAAACCACCAUGGCACAUGCAUACCUAUGUAACAAACCUGCACGUUCUACACAUGUACCCCAGAACUUAAAGUAAGAAAAGAAAAGAAAAGAAAAGAAAAGAAAAGAAAAGAAAAGAAAAGAAAAGGAGCCUUAGCAUAAAUGAUCCAUUUAGUCCUUGCAACACUUUUACAAGGUGUGUGUAUGCGAGGAGGGGAUGAUGAACAAGAAAGCACACCACAAGCAGGAUGGAUGACUGCAUUCAAGUGUCAUCUAUUAUUCUAUAACAGAAAUAUAAUUAUUCUAUAAGGAUAGUAACAACCCAUCCCAUGUGCAGAACACUCUAUGAUUCAGAAAAUCCUUUUACACCCAUUAUCUCAUUGCAUCCCCACGACAGUCCUGUGGUGGGGGAAGUAGAGCUAAUUAUAUUAUCUUCCAUUUGUAGCAGCCACUCUUGGUUGCAUAGCAAUACCUACUGCCCUCCUAACAGAAUCCUGACUUUGCUCAGCUAGCCACACUGUGGUUAUGUGUCUCAGUUGGAAGAUCCUGACUGGCAAGUUACAAAAGUCCCCUUCCUCAUGAGGGAAUCUGGACCACCGGCCAAUCUGAUAUGAGGAGAGGUCUGGGGGUUCCCUGGACGGGGAAUCAUCCGGACACAAUGCCUGGGACUGUAGCAGUGGAAGCCAAGAAGCUGAAUCUGAGCCUUGAUGAACAUGCCUGGAAUUGCCCUAUCUCUGGACUUCUUGCUAAAUGAGAUAAUAAAUGUUGAAGCUAACGAUAAUCAUUGAAGCCGGUUUGAGUUGCGGUUUUGCAUAAGGCAUCUUAAGAUCUCCUACCUCACUGUAGACAGAGUCUUCAUAAAAACCCACUCCCACUGCUUUCGUUUCCACCCUUAUUGUU